GCUCAGGCGACAUAGCUCAGGAGGUAAGAGCGGUUGUCUGGCAGUCGGAGGGUUGCCGGUUCGAUCCCCGCCCUGGGCG
rnacentral:tRNA from 1 species